GUCCACGCCGUAAACGAUGAAUACUAGGUGUCGGGGAGCAAAGCUCUUCGGUGCCGUUGCAAACGCAGUAAGUAUUCCACCUGGGGAGUACGUUCGCAAGAAUGAAACUCAAAAGGAAUUGACGGGGGACCCGCACAAGCGGUGGAGCAUGUGGUUUAAUUCGAAGCAACGCGAAGAACCUUACCAAGUCUUGACAUCCGCCUGACCGAUCCUUAACCGGAUCUUUCCUUCGGGACAGGCGAGACAGGUGGUGCAUGGUUGUCGU
rnacentral:rRNA from 1 species